AGUGAACGCUGGCGGUAGGCCUAACACAUGCAAGUCGAACGGCAGCACAGUAAGAGCUUGCUCUUACGGGUGGCGAGUGGCGGACGGGUGAGGAAUACAUCGGAAUCUACUUUUUCGUGGGGGAUAACGUAGGGAAACUUACGCUAAUACCGCAUACGACCUACGGGUGAAAGCAGGGGAUCUUCGGACCUUGCGCGAUUGAAUGCGCCGAUGUCGGAUUAGCUAGUUGGCGGGGUAAAGGCCCACCAAGGCGACGGUCCGUAGCUGGUCUGAGAGGAUGAUCGGCCACACUGGAACUGAGACACGGACCAGACUCCUACGGGAGGCAGCAGUGGGGAAUAUUGGACAAUGGGCGCAAGCCUGAUCCAGCCAUACCGCGUGGGUGGAGAAGGCCUUCGGGUUGUAAAGCCCUUUUGUUGGGAAAGAAAAGCAGCAGGUUAAUACCCCGCUGUUCUGACGGUACCCAAAGAAUAAGCACCGGCUAACUUCGUG
rnacentral:rRNA from 1 species